rnacentral:lncRNA from 1 species
GGAAGGCUGUAGUCCAAGGCCAUUUUUUGCUAGCUGUAAGUGGGGCCUCCAGAACCAAAGCGAGGACACAGCUCUUAUUAAAAUUGAGGAAGGUAUUUAUGCUCGAAAUGAAACUAAUUCUAUUUAGGCAAGAGAUGUACUUACAUGUAUAAAGCAAAGAACAACACACUGACUGCUGGCAGCAAACUGAAGAAAACCAGCAUAAUCUGGGGAAAGGUAAACUCAGGCCCAUGGAAACAGUGGCAUGGUUUGUGCUAAAUUCCCAAGCAAUCUUGCUAAAGCUAUUGAACACAGAAUCUGUGUGACGCUGUGCCCCUCAAGGACUUAA